GUUCACUUCCUAUAAGAAAAACUAAGUGAGGAGAUGGCGAUGUGUCUUCUCCACUGAUUCCCUUCACAGACUCUGCAUGGAUUACUAUGCUGGGAGAGGUUUUCAGAAUGCUGAAGAUGCUUCUUGAAACCUAUUUUUAUGAUCAAGUUAUUCAUCAUCUCCCCUACUAUCACCUUCUGUAUUUCUUGUUAUAAAGCAGAUGUUGACUCCCCCAUAAUCUGCAAAAGGAG